AUGACCAUAGAUCGAACCUAUCCUAUUUUUACAGUGCGAUGUCUGGCUAUUCACGGACUAGCUGUACCUAUUUUUUUCUUGGGAUCAAUAUCAGCAAUGCAAUUCAUCCAACGAUAA
rnacentral:rRNA from 1 species